UGGCGCACGGGUGAGUAACGCGUGGGAAUCUGCCCUCUUGUCUGGGACAACAGCUGGAAACGGCUGCUAAUACCGGAUACGCCCUUCCGGGGAAAGGUCCGCCGCAGAAGGAGGAGCCCGCGUCUGAUUAGCUUGUUGGUAGGGUAAUGGCCUACCAAGGCAACGAUCAGUAGCUGGUCUGAGAGGAUGAUCAGCCACACUGGGACUGAGACACGGCCCAGACUCCUACGGGAGGCAGCAGUGGGGAAUAUUGGACAAUGGGGGCAACCCUGAUCCAGCAAUGCCGCGUGUGUGAUGAAGGCCUUAGGGUUGUAAAGCACUUUCACUGGUGAAGAUGAUGACGGUAACCAGAGAAGAAGCCCCGGCUAACUUCGUGCCAGCAGCCGCGGUAAUACGAAGGGGGCGAGCGUUGUUCGGAAUUACUGGGCGU
rnacentral:rRNA from 1 species